UCGCGUGCUCUGGGGUCGGUGUAAUUCCGAGCCGGCGGUGACUGAGAGAUCAGAAGUCCGCGACCCGGUCACAGCCAGUGACCGGUUGACCAGGUGAGAAUCCUGGACCGACGGUGAAAGUCCGGAUGGGAAGCGCACGCAG
rnacentral:ncRNA from 2 species